AUGAGCUAGAACUUGUGUAUAAUGAUAAUGGCUAAAAGGCAUUUAAACGGGUAUUUAGACCACUCUGAAUUUGCUUGUUUUUGCAAGACAAGUUUGGGUGACAUCCCUACCACUAUAAGCUAUUGAUAUGUGAAUUUUCUUAACUAUGCUGUACAUGUCUUCAAGACAUACAUAAUAUUUUUAAAACAUCUUCAUCUGAUGAAUAUCGUUUUUAACAAUUUUUUUUAAAUCUUCACAUUGAAGAACUUAAUACCUUCAUUAUCAACAAAAUAUU
rnacentral:lncRNA from 1 species